UUUCCGUAGGUGAACCUGCGGAAGGAUCAUUAUUGUAUAACCGAGGUGCGAGAGCUGUCGCUGACCCGAAAGGUCGUGCACGCCCGAGUGCCCUCACACACAUCCAUCUCACCCCUGUGUGCACCACCGCGUGGGUCCCCCUUUGGCUUGUUCGGAGGGGGGCUUACGUUUUCACACAAACUUUGUAUGCAGUGUAGAAUGUAUUUUUUGUUUUUGCGAUCACGCAAUCAAUACAACUUUCAACAACGGAUCUCUUGGCUCUC
rnacentral:misc_RNA from 1 species